rnacentral:lncRNA from 1 species
AUAGCAACAUUUCCUUAAUUCUAGGAAGGCCCUUUUUAGCAACUGCUAAAACCAUCAUUGAUGUUGGCAUAGGUGAACUCACACUCCGGGGGGGAGACGAAACAAUCACCCUUCAAGCUCGCAAUUCUGGCAACACAUCAGGAAUUGAAGGUAAACAUUUAAACCAUUCUACUAAAACUAACAAUAUGGUGCAACCUAUUUUGCAGAAAAUGAGUCUGAAGGAAGCACACGAGUUGUUC